GGCAUUUAGAGGAUUAUGCCUGCAGGGAUGAGGACAGUUCAGUUUCAGAGCUGUAUCUCCUUGGUAUGACUGUUCCUGAUGGAUUGUGAACAGAAUUGUAUUGUGAAAUAUAUGCGCUUAUUGGAGUUGCUGUUAACUUCAUAAUUGCUCUGUAAUUACUAAAGAGAGAGAAUCUUGCGCUUCUGACAGCCAGGACGCUGGGCUUUUAUGAAUGCAGCACCAGGACCAGGCUCAGAAGAUGUUAAGUGCAACCUCAUUUGGCAGUCGCCAGCCUCCCCACUCAGCACCUCUAGUGAUUUUGCUCACCCGAAGCAGUGUCCAUGGGAGGCCCAGGAAGAGGGAGAGGAGCAGAAAGCAGAAGAGCCCUGUUUGGCUGUCUCACAGGAGGAGGAUGGCUUCUCCCACCACACACUGCCUCACAGUGCUCUUGUCCUGGCCUGACCUGACUGUCAUGAAGCUUGCUAUGGAUUUUGUACCUGCGCUCUGACUGUUGGGCUGCAUCAGAACUUCUCUGCUCAAGAGAACCCGUUUGCAUCGCAGCUGUGAGCAAGUCCAGCUUCUCUUGUGACACACAGAAAACUGUGAUUCAGCUCAGGUAGCUCUCUUCGUUACAUGAUGACAAAAGGGUGAUGUGUUGCUGGCCCGCUGGGAGGCCACCCACGGCCCUCAGUGUCCCAGCAUGUUCCUGUGCAUGUGAACAUCCCUGAGGCUGCUUCCUGGAGAUGUCUGUCACAUCACACGGGCCAGUUCCACUACGUGCCAGUGAUCCAUGCUAUGGCUUUGGUAUUUCACUUCUGCUGGACGUACUUUCCAGUGCAUCCUGGGAGCAUGCUUGUAUUGCCGUAACUGCAUCCCAUGGGCACCCCAAAUCAUUAAUCACCAGUGUGCUCUUUUCCUCUUCUGCUGGUUCCAGACGAGUUCCCAGUUCAUAGCGUAAGUUCCUGCUGUUAAUCCAUAAGCCAUAACCUUUAUAUUGGGUACUGUUCAACACAAUUAGAUUUCUGUUACAUGAUGUUCUUUCCUGCAGUUAAACAUGACUUGCUUUACUUAUGCAGCCAGCCUCAGGUGAGAUUUAAUUGUAACCUUGGGGUUCAAGCUCUGUGCUUGCAUACCACUCUGUGAACCUGCCGGCCCACCAACCCAUCACCCGUACUCAUCUCAAUACAUGAGCAAUCAUCCACAGCUCUCUGCAGCCUUGUUUUGUGGGGCUGAGCACAGAGCAUGCAGCCAGAAGAGUUGUUCAAUGCUGGCAUGGCCAAGCUGAGGCUGAACAUCAGCCCUGUCCAAAGGACCCACUCUUUCCAGAGCAAAGAAACUCUUUCCAUUAGCCAAAGAAUGAAUCCAGGAUGGCUGGGAGUCAGGUCACCCUGACUGCAAUGUAAACAUGGUACCUGCUCUGGUGCAAGCUGCAAUGGAAAACAAAGGCACAAUAGACCAGACAAGGUCAUUACACACAAUUUGAUCCAAUUAUAUAUCUAAACCCACGGCUCUUUGUGCUGUGAGUUUGAUUUUGUGCUGAGAGGCAGAGAAAGCAGCCUUAUAUAUAAUGGAGCAGCGCUGGGCACUGAGUGCUUUGGUGCCACAAGAGCAUGACAGUAAGAGAAAUGCCUGGGGAAGUGAAUCAAUAGCAGCAGGCCGGCCAGCUGCAGGGUGAGGACGGGGUAAAUUGCUGGAAGAAACUUUCCCAGCCACCAGACAAGUUGGGAGAACAAUACAAAGAACAGGAUGUGAGGCACUUCCCGGCACUGGCGACUCUGCGCCAAGGAGCGCGGCCGCUUCCAGGGCUAUCUUUAUACCCCUGUAAUCUGGAGACGUUUUCUAACGUUUUCUCUCAAUUUCUGUGCUCGUUGGGAAGCUGCUGUUUCUUUUAGCUCUCCUUCAGAGAGCCAAUCCUCGCUGCAAAAAUACGAGGCCGCGUUCCUCCACCCUUCCGAUCGAUGCCACCCCUGGCAGAUCUCUGAGCAAGACUGGGAAUAGGCCAGUUCCCCCUCUGGCAUCUGGUUGAUAGAGCAAUGCCCACGCUUUUUUGCUUUUUCCCAUCCCUCUCCCUCCUCCCAUCCCUGAGGGAUGGAGACAUUUGUUGCUUGUUCUGAUGUCUGUUACCAGCCACUCUCAUCUCCAUGCGUAGAUCCCAUAGAGGUGCUUCUCCCUCGAAUAUCUGAGCCAUUGCAAGUGAAAGAAAAACAAAACGCGGCCCUGUGAUUUUCCUCCCUGCUAUCAGGAAACAGGUUUGUUUGUUUUUUAAUGAAUGCAAAAGAAUGCAGAUAGCGGAGAGGAAAAGCCUGGGCUCUGAGCUCUGUGUUUCUUUAUUUAGGCUCCUCCAUGUGCAUCAGCUGAGCCCAGCAGGCGGCAAAGCAAGAGGUGGAUGUUAUUUCAGGAAAAGCCUGGCCCCUUGGGCUUGAGACAGAGCAGCAUCCCAGGCUGCAGUCCCCUGGCUCCUGUUGCACGUAGGGAAUUUGGGUGGAAGAAGGAAUCCCAGAAAUGUGGCUUUUCUCUUCUGUCCUCUAGGUUUUGCAGAGCAGGUGUACCCAGGGCAGCUCAGUUCUACUGGGACAGGUCACCGGGUACUGCGUGGUCUGGUAUUUCCCACUGCUUUGGUGCUGGACGUUAAACAGGAGACCAAAGAGCAUUUCUGUGGCAUAAUGUGGGAGAGUGAUGGUGUGUGAUGUGCUGGAGGCUCUGAUGCUCGGGGGAGCGGGGUGUACGCCACGUGGGAGAAGCAGUAGUGCCCCGUGGUUGUGCUAGGUGGCAUGGGCUGAAUGGCAGCAAAAGGCUCCUUCCAGCCGCAGGCACGCUGCAGUGCUCUCUGGAAACCACAGCUGAAAUCACAGUCACAUUGAUGUCAACACCAAAAAGGAAAAACAAACAGCAAAGCGAUGUGACAGACUCAGCACAAUAUUUCUCUUGACUUACUGAUCAGCACUUAAUGCUGGUUUUAGGUGUUUCUAGCUCACUGUAAGUCCAAUUCUAGUCUCAAAACAUCGUGUCAGCAUGAAAAGUAGGAGUGCAUCACAUACAGAGAGCUGAUUAGACUUUUCAUUUUAUUCAAAUGUACAUAUUUUGGCCACAGCUCCUUGCUGAAUUCAGCACAGAUGCAGGUUUGGUCAGCCUGAACUUGCAUCUAUCAGUGCUUAAAACAUUCAUCACACUGUUUUUUACCUGGCCGUAGCCAUGAUGUUGUGUGAAGCACUGUUUCACUAUACAUGGGUAGCUAGGGCACAGCUGUUCUUUGGGAUAUGAGCAGCUCUGAGGUAGGUCACCUUUACCUCUAAAACCAGUACUCAUUUGCACUUUGUAAAGCAUAUUUCCUCCUCAGUCACGCAGGAUUUUUUGCUUCUUUAGAAGUAUUUCUUUUGUAGCAGAUUUUUAUGCAGAUUUUUAUGCAAUAACUUAUUACUAGGUUGUUUUCUAUUGAUGCGGAGAAAUCUUUCAUGCAAUUUGCAUCCCAUUAACAGCUUCAUAAGAGAUGAUCCUGAUUCUAAUAGCUCUGCACAAUAAGCCAAUAAAGCCAAAUAUGGAAGGGAUUAUGAAGUGCAUUGCUGUUAUACCCGCAAAAUGGCUCAUCCUUUCAAAAUAGAGGCAUUGACUCCUCUGACACCGAAGGUUAGUCCUAAGAGUUACAACUAUCUGGUAUUUUUUCAGCAGUGCUUUGACUGCCUUUUAUCUCCUGUUUUUUGCCCUGUCCGUUUUCUCGCAUUAGCAGCAGUGACCGCAAAACCAAAGCAGAGCCCCAGUCUUCAUGGACUGAUGCCUCACAGGUGGGUGUCAGAUGCAGCCUUCCAGGUGCAAAACACUGCCGGAUUCCAGCACUGUAAUAAAACCAGUGUUACAUCAUUUCUGCAGUGGUGGAACAACAACAGAACCUGCCUUGGGGCAGGUAUAUGCACUAGCCAUUGGCCCUGUCACAAACACCUUCCUGUAGGCAUUUUACACCAUAUACUACAAGUUUCCACCACCUGUAGAACAGGCCAAGAGUCUAUGCUGAGGCUUACGGAGCUGCUCUGAUGCUGCGUGGGCUGGUGGGGAGAAUUACCAGCCGUGGAAAUGAGUUAACUCUCUCCCUGGUGUCAGUCUCAACCUGCUGUCUCAGGGUUUUCCUCCAGUUUCAUAAACCAAGGAUUUGAAGUGAAGGGCAGACAUUAGAAACUGGCCUCCUGCUCAGUAGAGAGAUGGAGGGGAGUGCCUGUGUGGGAAAACUCAUCACUGCAUGAGACCCUGUGCAUUACAUCAGUCAUGUACAGUACCUGUGUGUAAGACAGACAUAGAGGCUUCAUGGCAGUGGUGGUGGCCAGAGUAGCACUCACAUGCUGGGGUCACCAGCAUCUGCUUAUGGGGUAUCCCCUGUCUGUCUUGGCUGGAGAGCCAGUAUGAGUCACCAUGGCCACCACAGGCCACUGCUGCUCCCCACACUCACUUGAGCUGUGCCAAAGCAGCCACGUGGGACAUAAAGAAUGUGGCAGAUUGGGAAGGCAGAGCAAGGCAGCAGCUGGAGACACUACUAAGAGGUGGGAAGGUUUCUGCUCCCGUCCCUCAGCAAGCACAUGCAUAUGCUAUGCUGAUACUUCUGUUUCUUACCGGAGUUGGAAAAUUGCAGCUGUGGUGGAUGAGAUGGUGGGGGAGUGGGAGUUGGGCAGUCUGGUAUGAUGAGAAGCUGGCUCAGAGGAGAAAAGGGGGCUGGUGGGAGAGGGAACAGUAGAGACCCAGAGCAUGGAGGGACCUGCCUAGGGCUCACUUUUCCUUCCAGCCACCAGAUUUUUCCUUGCCUGCUCCUGCUUCUUCUGGGAACAGCACUGGGGUCACUCAGCCAUCUGGCUCCCUCAUGCCCUCUCUUUUCCUGCAGGUCACAGCCUGACGUUCUCACACAUGAAGUAACCGUUCAGGCUCCUGGGAAAUACAUGAGAGGGCUCUUUCUUAAACAGUGGCAAUGCCCAGACCACACUCCUUCCUAGUGUACAUGUAAUGUUGUAUGUGUUGUUAACUAGCUCAGUUGCCUAACAGAGAGAGUUUCCUCUGUCUGCAACAAACAGCACUCAAAAUAAUUUUUUUACCUUCUUUGGUCACACUCAUACAUACUCCUUUUCUAUUUCAAUCGCUCAGCCAUUGUAUGGCUUCAGUGCAUUUGAACCACUCGAGUAUUUUGGUCUGGUGUUUGACUUCAUGGUCAUCAGUGUUGUCUUUAUGCCUCCAUUUGAUUUGGAGGUUGCCUUCAAGUGGACCCAACCACACCAGCUGCUCUCACAGUGCUGAUGGGGUGAAUGCAGUACAAAAGAGCUCAGUGUCACCCCAGCUCAAAGGUCCUCCUCCACCAUCCCUGGCCACCUGGGGAUGCUGCCCUUGUAAUGAUGGGACAAGGUGCUUGGUUCUCAUGUCUGUGGCAGACUUCUGUUCACAGACUGCCAUGGUUGGAGCAGCCCUGCUAUUGCCAGGCCACAGCUGGCCUGUUCAGACUUGGCAUUGGCAGGGGCUAGAUCCCAGCUUUGAUUCUGUAUGAGUACUGGUCAGCCCUGGUAGGAUGUCCUCUGUUUUUUAUGGCCGCCUGCCAGAUGCAUGCUCCUCGUGGGUGCUCUGCUGGCCAUACUUGAGCAGGCCUGGCUUCAGAAGAGGUGGUUGCAGUCACCACCUGGGACAUGGGGUGCCUGUCUCACAAGCUAUAUCUCCUGCCUUCAAAAUGCUCUCCAUGUCCACAGGAUUUUAUACUAAUCCCAGUUUUUGUGCCUCUUAAAUUUCUAGCAUCUGUAGAGUGUAGCUUUACCAAACAUUAAAAGAUAAUUCAGCCAAUUUUAAAAUGACCCUCCCUUGCUUUCUUUUCCCUUCCUUUCAGGAGCUGAGUUUUCCUUUCCUCUGGCUUGUACAUGUUUAAACCAUUGUCUUACUCUUCUACAACCCUUUUAUGUCUAUACCUAGUAAGUACCAGGACCCUGUUGGUCAUAGAUAACAAGGGUUUCCAAAGAGUCUGAAUAUAAAUUGCCUUUUUCUUUGAAGUUUCUGCUUUCAGCUGCUUCCGACUUGACCCUUUCCAUGCUUCUUUUUCUAGAUAUCUCUUUCCUUCCUUCCUCCAUCUUCUUUUCAUCCCCUGAUUUUUUCUCUCAUUUUCUGGAAUUUGUUAUUUCUUCAGACUUGGUUUCUGUUUUCUUCAUUUUCCACUUCUUGUCUCCCCAGUGGCCUCCAAAACCAUCUCUAAUCCACCGCCUUCUGCUUCAGAUAUUUGCACCUUCUGGCUGGUUCUGCUGUCAUCUGCAUGCCCCAGCAGCAUGCAGAAGGGAGGAUGAAGCUUAGCACUUCCUUAUCCGUCAGUCUCACAGCAGAAGCAAGGCACAUUUUCCUCUUCUCUCCAAAGGCAGAGGUACAUGGGAUUUCACCCUGGCAGGGCUUGCCACCUCAAACACCACAUUCGUGUGCACAGAGCUAGCACUCAUCUUAGAAGCCCUUCCAGAGCUGGGCCAGCAUCCAUAGAUUUUUACCUUAAUCAACACAUGUCUUUAAGUGUUGCCCUUUGUAAAGAAUACUUUAGCAAAAUGAUUACUUUCAUUACAGUUGGUGUUCAGUUUUCCAGACACUCGGUACCGUGUGGAUUUAUGUUUCAGACCACAACAGUUGUAAGUCAAACAUUGUGCUCCUCAGUAUAAUUUCCUUUCGCUGUGAUAUUAUUUCUUCUGGGCCUUCUGGUAAUCCUCUCUUAAUAUUUUCCACUGCAGCACUGCAAGGCCCGUGCUGGCAUUGAAAGCUUUUACAUCUGAAAAUCACCAUCCUGCUGGCUGUAAUUAGUGCUGACACGCACACACACAGACUGAUGCCAGGAAGCAGAAGCAUUGUCCUUUAGCCUUACUCAUAUGGAAAGGUCGGAGCUUUGGGGUGGCUUUCUUGUGUGCAGAUGCCUUCAAGCACUGGGAAGCAGGGAGCUGUGGCACUGCUCUUGGUUAAACGACAAGCUCGUCUACCCAAGCAUGUAGCUGUGGCCUUGACAGGUUACAUUUCUGUUUGCAUUGUCACUUCCUAUCAUGCCUGCAGCGGAGGUAACUGUUUGCACUGUCAUAACAUCUCUUCUGCUGGUGCUUCCUGGCCUGCAACACUGCAGAAAUUACCACAGGGUGCAUCGCCCCACUCUCCAGACUCUCGCUUGAGGAUGGCACACAGACAGUCACGAGGCCCCAAGCAGCACAAGCAGCUGUGGAGGCUGCCAGCCUAUGAGCUGCCUCCUGGUUGCCUGUCCUGGCUUUCCUGCCCAAGCUCUAGGCCAUAGGUAGCCUCAUGCCCAGGGGACUACAGCCCUGGAAGUGAGCAUCACUGCACAGCCUCCAAUGGUCACUUGGGGUGGGCUGAUGAACAGGUCCCUCUGGAAGAGGUCCUGAACCAGCUCCUUCUGAGAAGUCCUGAAAACAUAUGAAAGCUAAUAGGCACGAUAGCUGUCAAUAAAAUGCCUUCUGUUAGAUUUCAGAUCAUUUCAGGAAUGAGUACAGAGAGACGGCUGCGUGGUGCCCCUGACGUUGGUGGAAUUUCUUACUUCUCUUGCAGUAAAAGCAAGGCUGCUUGAUGCCAGCGAGAAACAUGUGGCUGUCCAACAUAUUGCCUGAGAUUCACAAAGGGAAUCAUUGGUACUGCUGAUUUCAGGUGUCUUUUAUUAAUACUGAAAAGAAAAAUUGAGCGUUUCCUUUGUACAAUUUGUAAUGCUCUGCUAAUCUGUGUAAUCUGCAGCUAGUGUCCAUUUGUGCUGCGUUUGCAACAAUUUCCCUGCUUUGUCAUUUCCAUCGCAAUACGUAGGUGUUGUCUAUUUUGCUUGUAAGGUCAUCUCAGGCAGUUCUGGUUUGAAAUAUUUGUCCUGCGAGCUUUCCCCAAACAUGUGAUAGUUUCUACUGGCUGCUCUUCUUGUUUGGUUUCUUUUUAUGUCCUUUAUGGGAGGGGAAGUGGAUGAGCUGGGAGGAAAGAUGAAAUGUCCUUUGUGUGCAGUUAGAGACAAGUAUCAUCCCCACACACUGAUGAGAUCUACCCUCACCUUCACGUGCUUCUGCUCCAAGCUGCAACUUGCAUCUACAUCCACCUCUACAGACAUAGAGAUGCACAGGGGACUCCCAGUUGCUGUAUAAUGAAUUGGAUUAUAAUCCCCCCUGGGAGAUCAACCUUACAAAAUGCUCCUCGUCCAUGUCCCUGCAUAUCUACUGGUCCAGGCCCACUACCAGCCCAGUUCCCUGCUGAUGUGAGGAAACCCAGCUCCAGGGAGACACAGUCAGCCACACUAACAUGUGGUACACGUGUGACAUCUCUUCUAACAAAAAUACGGCUAGGCAGUGUUUUAUGUGCCUGGCAUACAUAACUACGUCGCUGUGUCAGUGCACUGAUGAACUUCACUUCAGAGAAGUACAGAGUUAGCAAGAAGACAACAAGUGGUAAAACAAAUGAACAAAGCCAAGCUGCUACGUUUUAUGGCAGUGUAUGAACAUAUCCAAGGCGUUUCUUUAAAAACAUGCUGUGCUCUUACUUGUGCCACGAGCCCCCAUUCUUAGUUAACCUUCAGGCAUUUAAGGUCAGAAGGCACCAUCUGAGCCAUCAGUUCUGCUGUACAAGUAGGAGACUGGGUCAUGAGAAAGGAGAAGUGAAUGAAUCUCAUGAAAAGAGAAAGGAAAUACCUCUGGACUUGAGAUAGGAUUCAGAUGGGAUUGCUGAGGACUACCAGAGUUCCCUCUUUGUGUUUCACUUCAACUGAGAUGGAGUUUCCCUUUCUUGCACUGAGUGCGAGGUCUGUGGGCAGCCAGGGAAACAUCUGCUGCAGACUUGAUGUGAUGAAGUGCAGAAGUCUAAUGUGGCAAAGAGAAGAGACAAGGCUAGAGGAAAAGAGGUUAAUGAGUAGAGAGGAACACAAACCUGCAUGAUAAUAAAAGCCUGGAGGACUUCAGGGGGCAGGCUAAACGUGAACAGGAAGAUGACAGAGCUGCAUUUCUAGGCACCUGAGGGAAGGCAGGGAGUUGUGUUGUGGCUGUCACAGCUAAAAGAUGCAUCGAGGCACAAGCAAGGAUGUCUACAGCAGCCAACAGGAAGCAUUUGACAGACCAGGAGAUUAGAGAGGAGGUUACCAUCAAGGUAAGAGAGGAGAAAGUGUGAGUUUGUAGAAAUUUUGCAUAGCUAUGGUAUUGCUCUGUAAGCUGCAAGAGGAAACCCUUAACAACAGAUUCCCAAAAGCUUGUGAUGAGAUGUCACUUCUGCCAGGGGAAUAAUACGAAGUAGGCUGCAAGCAAAUAAUAAAACCAGCUCAUUUUAUUAAGCUGAAUCAAUUCAUGCUGGUUUUAUGCCUUCCUAUCACCCUCUUUUUCUAACCGAAGCUGUUUCAUUAACUAAAGAUACGAUUACUCUGUUUGGUUCAGUUGUCCUCAGUGUGGAAUGGCCUCCCAUGUUUGAGGUGUUCGGCUGCAGGCUGAGUUGAAUCCUCAAGCUUAUCCAGUCCUGAAACUGUCCUGAACUGCAGUGGCCGAACCUGCACAGUUCAAAUGAAGUCUUCACAGCAUAGACAAGCGGGAAAGAAUUAUUUCCUGUUUCUUGCAGAUUGAACUUCUGUUUGUACACCUCAUUACAGCACUUUCAUUUUUUACUGCAGCAUGACCGUGCUCAUUCAUGUUGAGCUGUCAUCCCUAGAUCUUCUGCAGAACUGCUGCUGUGCCGGUUGUUUCCCAGCCGUCUUUUAGUACUUGAUGACGCCUACGCAACUGCAGAGCUCUGCUUUGUCCCUGCUCAAUGGCGUUUGUUUUCCCCAGCAUUCCUCCAAUUUGUCAAGAUUGUUUUGCAUUCUCAUCCUGUUUCUCCAAAGCGCUUGUUCUCCAUGGUGUCCUGUGCUAAUUUAAUAAGUGUUCCCUACUCUCAUUUCUUCAAAGAUAUUAAUGAAAAUACCGUACACUGCCAGACACAAAACAGAUGGCUUCAGACUUCAUUUGAUACGUACCGCCAGUUUGACAGUGAAGCAUUUAUAACUGCUUUUAGUCUGGUUUUCCAACCAGCUGUACACUCCUCUAAUAGCAGUUUCUUCUAAACCAUGUUUCUUUACUUAGUUUAUGAAAGUGUCAGGUGAGACAAUGGCAAAAGCUUUACUAAAAUCAAGAUCUAAGGCCUACUACAGAAGGAAAUUAGAUUGAUUGGAUGUGAUUUGUUUUUGUCAAAUCAGUGCUCGCUGUUCCUCAUCUGCUUGCUGUCAUCUAGGUGCUGGAAAAGAGCUUAACCAAUUUCCACUUCCAGCAUUUUCCAGGAAUUGAAAUUAAGCUGCUUGCUCUCUGACUCCUUGGGCACCUUUGAGUAGACCAAAGGAAGAAAGUAACAACCAUUUAGGUCUUUGGUAUCGUCACUGAGUAACUCCUCCUUGUGAAACUCAGGUCUUUCUCUGGCCCUCCUUUUACUUCAAGUGCAUAAACUUCACGCCCACUGCUCGUUGCAUCACCUAUAUCUUUUUCAUUUCAUUCCUCCUCUUAGUAACAUGACCUAGUUUGACUUUCUGUCUGCUUCCACUGCACAUCUGAAACUAAUGAAGAGCUCAUGAUUUAAUCACUUUGUACCUUGUGGGCCUCCUGUAGGGCUUGUGCUAAGUUGCCCUGCUACCAAGCAGUUCACAAGCAGUUCUUUACUAUUUCUUCUGUGAUUGUGCCUUCCACACAACUUCCUUACAGCACUGUUAACUCUUCAAAUGUCCUUUCUGCCUCAGAUUUGCCACUUGAAGGUCACUCUCACCCCAGCUGCCUUUCACCUUUGCCUGCAGACCCAAGUUUCCUGUAUAAGUCAGAAUCAAAUACUGCAGAGCAUCUAGUCAGGAAGGAGCUAACUUAAAGAGAUGAUAGCAGCAGUCAGUUCAGGGAAGAGCACAGAAAGAGCACCAGCACAGAGCUAAAUAGAUAUGCUUCUGCAUAUUUAGCACUUAGUUGUGUCAGGAAAAAUUAAUAUUAAUGUUCACAAUUACCUGCCCCCGCCUAUGAACUUGUCAUUAAAUACAGGAGAGCCGGAUAACAGUGGUGAAAACAUUGUGUAAAACUUGAACAGUGAAAGACUUACCAUUGCUGUUUGUCUGUCUUAAGACUUUUUGACGGUAUCUAUUAUAUCUUUGCACAGUGAGGGGGCUUAGACUUUGCAAACAUUUGGAAAUUCUGUGUAAGAAGCAUGCAGUUAGAUCUUUCAUUCAAUUAAGCAUUGACAUUACAGUGUGUUUCCAAUGAUGGGGGCUCAGGCCUGCAAGCACAGCAUCAAGAAGUUCUCACUGAGCCAGAGCUCACUGUGGUCCAUGCUCUUUAAGCACUGUUGAUCAGGGCUUCAGCUUCUCAGCAGCCAACCAAGAUGCUUCAGGCCUUCAGGGACAGAUUAAUCUUUCCAGGUCAGCUUGUUCCUGUGCAUGGUGUGCAUUGUUCCUAGUAAUGUCUUACUCUAGCUUCAUUAAUAGUAGAAAAGCUCUACCUAAAUGUACCUUCCUGCUUAAAACUCCCACUCAGAAAUUUGCUUUGGGAGCACCUUGCCCUCUACUCCUUACUGCCAUCUGUCCAAACCAAUCUGACACUUCCAGGCCAAGGCUGUGCCCAUGCAACCUCCCUGUGCAGUCCUGGAAAAGCUCACCUGAGCAGAGUGAUGUCAAGUUGGCUGCUGGCUGCCAUUCAUAGCUUGAACAUGUUCUUGCAGAAGUCCCUUUACGUGCUGAGCAAUUGGUCCAUAAGCACAGUCGGCACGGCAGUCAGUAACUCUGCUGUGAGUUAUUUUAAUGAUGUUAUUGAUUUCAUUAGCUCCAUUUUGUUUUGCCUCAUGACAUCAACUCUUGGCGCCAGGGUUAAGUGGCAGCUAAUUAAUUCAGUAUAAACGAUGUUUCUUUAUGGGGCAGCCAGGAUCAAAGAGGACUCCUGAAGCUUCCAGGGAUAUCUGCCCAGAAGCUGGGAUGGUUUGUAAAGGAAUUGUUGACUUUGUUUUAACAUCCCAAACAAUCACAUUAGUACAACUUUAUAACUUACUCCUCUCCAUGCACUUCAUAUCACCUCAUGAGAAGAAAAUGUUACAGAAGAGCUAUGAUGAUACAACAAUAGCUGGUAUCCUUGCAGGCACUCCGAUUUCUCUUCUUUAUCUAGCAGUUGGAGUUUGAUAUAUCAUCCAAUGAUUGCUCUUUGAGUCAUUGGAAGCUCCUACGAAAAGAAGAAAAACAAAUUUACAAGCUGCUGUGGUAGUGUCGUAGUCUAACUGAGCAUCCACGGCAUCAGCUGGAGAACUGUCCUGAUGGUGCUCUUGGAAUUUGGGUCAGACUACAUAAUGCUCCAAACAAGCUGUGAAGAAAGCUGCAGGAAGAUCUGAGAGGCAUCCCCAUGAGGACAGGGAUGGGUAAUUAUUUAUUUUUUUAAGCUUGCUCAAAGCCCUGCGCCUACCUGUGGCCUGACUCAAGGCUCCUGUUGGCUUUGGGGAGAGCUGGCCAAAACCAGUAUGUUGGACCCCACUUGUCAUGCUCUUGGCACUUUUGCAGAAGGAGCUGGAAGGACAGCUCACCCCAGCUUGUGUCACAACAGCAGAGAUCAUGUUUGCAUCUGCAAGAGAAGCUGCAGUCAACAACAUGGUGCCAACAGUCUCCAGGUGAAUGCAGCUGGUGUGCUUCUGUUUCACUGAACUUUUAUCUACCAUAUAAUCAUGAAUGGGAGUCCCUCUACAAAGUGGGUCUUCACCCCACUAUUUGCAUUCUAUUUCUCUGUCUAGUGGCACUGUGGCUAUUUUCUUUGCUCCCUGAACUGUCCAGCUUUUCCUUCCUUUUUCCCUUCCUAGCCCCUUCCCUCUUCAUUUCUAUUCCAGUAUGUUUUCACAAGAUGACCUACUGAAUAUUAGUAUCUGGGUAAAGACUACCUCUUUGUGUCAAACCUCUGGCUUCAUCACAACACCAUAAACCACCACUGGAAAAUAAAACAAUAAAGCAGAGGUGUAUGAGGGGUUUCUCAAGUAAGUUAUUUGUGUUGAGCACACGUACAGAUACUUAUUUUACUUUCUCUAUCAUAGAUCAGCUAGUGGGUAUUUUCUUUAGUUGAAAUAUUGGAAAAUAAACUCAGGCAGCCCUGAGAUCUGUCCCAGGUGGCACAGUCAGGGUGCAGGUGGCAUGUUAACCCACUGCUUCUCAUGGUGCAGAAGCCUGGGGCUAUCAAAGUGAAAGAGCAGGCUGUGUGAACGCCUCACCGUGGGUCAUUUUUUCUUGUCAAUGUAUAACCAGACUUAAAAUGUGGUUAGGCAAAUUCCUGCAUAAAAAGUCCUUCGGGGCUCUUUACAACUAGGGAUUUAGCUGGGACUGUACCACUGCCCAACUGCCCUUCGUGUCUGCAUUUUCCUAAGCUAUCAUCCUGGCCCUUCUCAGAGAUGGGGCUGUGAUGUGUCCUCCCAGUCACCUCUGCACACCUCAGUUCUCUGCCUUCCAUCUUCUCCCUGCCUCCCAUCUGGGCACUUCCACGCACUGCGCAACUGCCCUGCUAGCAAACCACUCCAGAGUGAACUUUGUCCUCCGCCACCUGGCAGCAAACCUCUGUGGCAUGAAUUGUCAUGGAUCUUCUGCUUCCAAUGGAAGGUUGACAACCUGUGAAGGAUAUGUCCCACAUUUUUUCCUGAAGGCUUUUUUGAGUUGGAAGGAUCUCUUCAGUUAUUUUUGUCAAAAUGGGAGUGCAUUUUCUCCAUUUUUUUUCUUUAUUCCAGGAAUUCAGUUCUUGUCCGUGUUGAGGAAUGAGGUCAAAGAGCUGGCUUUAUAGCAUGCUGGAGAGAAAAUAACUCCUACUUAAUAAACAAAUAAAUGAACAGUCCCCACUGCUCAGUAGGGUGUGAUACGAGUUCCAAAUUUACGCGUAAAACCUUUCAAACCAUGCAUGACUUUGCUAGCACUGUUGAAAGCGAAAAGCAGGCAUGGAAAAACCUAACUAACUGAAAAUGCAUUUGGAAAUGCUUUCUUAAGGAUAAGAAUCAUAAAAUGCAAACUGGAAUACAAACCCAAUUUCACAAUAUUACAUUGCAAAUUGUUUUGAUUUUGGAAGGAUGCAGAGUGCAGGCUAAGAUCAGCUGCCUGCAUAGGCCAUGUUAUAAUAAAUCACAUUGCAUUUUUCAUCCCCAGAACAAUCUCCAGUGAUACGGUACGUUCUUUAUUAAGAGUGUUCCGCAGCAAUCAGAGCUGAAGGGAAGGAAGGAAAUGGCUUGAAGAACAUGGCAAGAAUCCCUUAAAGUUAAGGGAGGGGAAUGGGGAAAGUUAUUUUAAAAGUACAGGUGGUUAGUGUAAAUUAUUGAGCACUUCAAAUGUUUUCCCUUGAUAAUUCUAAUCACCUUGUGAAAUCAGUCAUUCACGCUUUUGCAAAACUCUUGAUUUAUUGGGAGCUUUAAUCUAUUAGUUGCAGCUCGGGAGCCAACCGUGCAUUCAUCUCCAUGGGCAGAAAGAGCUGGGCUCAGCCCUGCAGCAGAACUCAGUGCUACAGCUGCUGAGCACGCACCACCAUGACAUGAACGGUGCCAACUCUGAGAGGGAUGCUGAUGCCUGGAGGCACCCCAGCUUGCUGCACCAGGGCUUGGGCCAUGGAGAUGUUCCCUCAGACUCCAAGGGUGUGGGGACCACGGGGCGGUGGCACGGGAAUGAAGGUGUUUUGAAGUGUACCUUGGACAUUAAGCCUCCACAUUGAAUGGGAGGGUUUUGUGCGACUCUUUUGUGCCAGAUGGGUCAGCCACAGAAUGGUGCUAUCAACAUAGGUUGGCUUAGCAAUAGGGAUCAGUGAUUUUGGAUGACACUUCACAGCUUCAGUCAUGAUUCCUUCCAGGCAGAGCCCUCCUCUUGCUGUUCUUCGGGCAUUGACUUUUUUCUACUGUAUUUGGGAAUUUCUCAUCAUCAUUAUUUAGGAAUAGCUCCAGUUUGCUGUGGAUGAUAAUGUUUGUUACCAAGGUGCUUGGGUGCAGCAGUAAGACCAACUGGUGCUAGCUCAACUCUUACAUAAUUAGCAAACACUGUCAAAUCUCAGUCAUCACAAUGAAUGCUAAGGUGAUUUAGGUAAAUGAGGGUUAAGAUAAACAGGUGAUAUUUUAGUGUUUAAUGCAUUAACAUCUUAAUAGCCAUUAAAUGAUUUGACCUCAUUUCUGCUAAGUGAGCAUUUAAUAAACAAGUUUUGACUGCAGUGACAUUGUGCAAAGGUCUCUGUGAGAACUUUGGGCAGACAGAGACCAUCUUUGUGACUGAACAACACUGUGCACAGUGGGGCGUUGCACUGGAUAUGGUAGCAGAGCGUGACAAGGUUUCACGUCUGGAGGCUGCCUAAGAGCAAGGGAGACUGAGCAGGCAUGCAGGAUCCCUGCUCCAUCUGGAUGACCUGCUGCCAGCUGCCAUAGUUAGUUGUAAAGUGUUCCUCAUCUCUUUCUUUUCUAUUUUCCCCUUUUUCUUUUAAUUUCGCCUCCCUUUUCUUCCUUUUUCUCUUCUCUUCUCUUCUCUUCUCUUCUCUUCUCUUCUCUUCUCUUCUCUUCUCUUCUCUUCUCUUCUCUUCUCUUCUCUUCUCUUCUCUUCUCUUCUUCUCUUCUCUUUUUUUCCCCUUAUUCUUUUUUUCUUGACUUAGUUGGACUGCCUGGGGACUUGCCAGAAACUAGGGGCCAGACCUUUUUCUGGGAGUCUUGUCUUUGGCAUCAGUGGAAAAAGGAUUUGCUCUUUAAUGCUCUAUAUUAGAACUACUCAGGCUGCUUGAAUCCUAAUUCAGCUAUUAACACUAGUUUAGGUAACAAGGAUGACAGUAAGGCAGUGGGAUAGGCAGCAGGACCAGGCCCACCUCUCACCCCACUUACCCCUCCACCUGCACUAAAUUCCCCUUGUGGCAACUGUGUGGUUCAGCGCAACACAGAGACUGUCCUGAAAGCUAUUAAACAUGAGAAUGAUGCCAGCUGAGCCUGAAGAGUGGGCACUGAGCACUCCUGGGCAGCCUGCAUCCUCCUGGCCCCAGCACGUGUUGCGCAGAAGAUGCACUCCAGCACAGCUUUCAUGAGCUCUCAAAGAGGCAUCGACUUCUUUUUUUUUUGCAUCUUAGCAAUGUAGCUGCAGACGUAAAACAUAACAGACAUUUAGAAACUGUAUGACUUUCCCUAAUUGUCUGCAACAGUUUCAAGAUAAGUCAUUUUUAAAAGAAUUGCUUUGAACAGAGAUGACUUUAAAACAGACUUCCGUACUUCUUGUUUUUGCUUCUGUCUUGGCACAGAUGCUUACCCUCUCUCCUUUGUAGAGUUAAUUAUGCAAAGGCGAAGAAGCUACACUAACGUUGUAAUUUUGUUUGGCAAGGUGAGCCACAAAACAUAUGCUGUGUCAUGCCUUUUUAUUACCGUGCAAGAAUUGCCAAAGAAGCCUAAGGAGGAAUCAAGGGCAUCAUCGUUGCGAGGAAAAGAGGAAACAGCCCAGUUUUACAACACUGAGGCUUGUAACCGCUUGCGGUAGAUAGUUUCAGAACUGGUUUAAUUUUAAAUUAUUCUUUUGCCAACCGACAGCAGCUUCAGAGUGACUUUUGUUUGAUCCUACCACUUUCUGAUCCCCGUUGAGUCAUUUUACGAUGCCCUGGCAACCAAAGUCCAACCGAUGCAGGCAGCGCCACAGCAGCAACCGCUCUGUCCUCUGUGUGGGGAGAUGGCAUCACCAAAGGUGGCUCUAGCCAGAAAAGCACUGAUCUCCUGUGCCCACGCCGGCUGCUCAAUGUGCUGCUACUAUCCCAAGGGGUGUUUUCAGUUGGAAGGGAUCAAGGAACCCGUUUGGGCUUAAAAUAACUAGGCUGAAAGAUAAGAUUAUGUUCAACUUGGUCUCUUUCCAGCCAGUUUCCUGAGAAGCUGGAGAGAUACAGAAGAAAUGUGGGUUUUGGUAUAUGACAAAUCCACACUGCGACUUCUCCCCACUGCUUUUGUUGCAAUGCCUUUGAGCUCGUGCAAAACUACGGAAAAGGCCACAGAGGGGGAGCUCAGCAGAAGGAAGCCUGGUUUCUCCACCAGAGAUGGAUCAUGUUGAAACACAAGGGUAGCCUCUUCCUUAUUGGAAGCUGGGAUAUUGCCUGUGCUGUGCAGAGAGGAGCCCACAGCAGCAGCCUUUGGGCAAUGGGACACACUUCUGGAGUUGUUAUCAUCUGCCAUCAAACACAGCCCUAGGCCCGAGGAGGGGCUUUAAUGAGCAGGGAAAACACCACAGAAGAACUGGAAAUGUUCCCCCUCAGGUCAGUUUGCUCACCAUUAGUGUUUUCUUACCUCCUCUGCUGUAGGCAAAUGCAUUUUCUGUAUGUAAGAAUUUGCUGAACUGAUAACCGACUUCACAGGGAUGGGAAAGGGCAAGAAUGCUUUCAGAAAGCCUCAGGUUUCCUUAUACAUCCCUGAAAGACAGUCCUCAGUGCAGACACAGCCCCGGACAGCAAAGGCUUGCUAAUGAUGACAAUGCCUGCAAAGAGUAGAAAUGUGAUGGAGAGGUUUGUAAGAGGGGCUUUGAGAGGGAGAGCACUGCACCAGUGUUUCAGGAAUAAGAGGCAGAUCUACUCACAGACACAGGCUAAUGCUCACUGUCCCUCACAUCCUCAGAGACAUAGACUGGUUACAGCAGUCACAGUUUCGGCAGUGUCCAACACAAGCUCAGCCCCACUGCCAUGGCAGCUCCAGGACAACCAUACCUCUAGGGGCAUUGCAAAGGUACCAGCACAUCUGGCAGGCCAGCCUUCAUCCCUGUAUCUUAGGAUGGCAAUAGCGUUCAGCCCAGAUCAGCUCAUUGCUUAAGGGAAAGAAGUGCUGGAAACCACUUCUGAGCUGAGCUCAUCCCAGCAGAGCAGCAUUACCCAUAGCACUUAUCUGCGGUUAUCUGUAGUUGCAGGUGACCUGACAUGAGGCUUAGCUGCACUCACACACUUUAAAUUCGAGGCAGGCAUAAGACAUGAGAUAGGACAUGUUGCUCAUGUAGGAAAAUACCUUCAUGAAUAUUCAAGCCUGAGGACUAGCCUAACGUAGAGAGUUUUUUGGAGCAGUGUGCUGCACACGAGACAUUUAAAAUCCAGACACUCCUCUAACACUUGAAAUCCUUGUACAAGAACUGAUGCGCCCAAAAUCAGGUCUUCACAGGAGCUCCAUUUCCUCUGAGCUGUCCGUGCAACCAACAGACUUACCUUGUAUGGGUGGAAAUACUCUUGAUCUCUGGUGAUCAAAGGCCAGUCUGAAGUGCCUGUCAAAGAGCAAGCAAAACCUCAAGAAGCUGCAGGAGGUGGGGCUCACGUCUCACCAUCUACACGCUCCUUUACACCAAGCCAGUGGUAUAAAAAGUGGAUAUCCAUCCUCCUUUUGCCCCAGAAGCACAGUUUAGAGCAUACUUGGGUCUGCUGGUCACAGUGUGGGUAAUUCCUAGGGGGAUGAAGUGAUACGUGCAGAGGCACUGGCUAAGACCUAGUGGCAGAGGUGCCCCACACAGGUCCAGCUGCCCUGUAGCACCAGUGUGAUCCAGCAGUGUGGCAGGGCAGGUGCUGGGGCAGGAGCUCCUUCCAUCACGCUAAGAUGUCUCUGAGUGAGUCACUGCCCUAUCAUCUGAAAUACUGGGUCAGGUGCUGUAGUUUAAACCCCAGAUGACGGUAGGUGAGCGGAUAGGUGAGCACACCCCUUGCAGUAACAAACCCGUGGGAGGCUGGAAGGUACCUGAGGCCAGGGCAGGUGCUUGUCAAGUGAGUGUGUCAGCGCUCCAGCGCUGGUGGGAACCAUUCCUCUUGGUAUUUGCAUUGCUCUGGAAAAUGAGUUACACUGGUGCUGAAGAGCUAGAAACUUUUGCAUUGACAUAUAUCUUAAUAGCCGAUUAGACUAAAAUAGUCUUGAUGUAAAUGAAAAUUAGACAGUGGCAGUACACAGGAUAAGACUAAUCAGGAUUAUUUGUGAAUUCCCAGUUACAUUUUUGUACAUUUCAUACAUCUGGAAGAGCCAGAAUGAUGUACCAUGUGCUUAUUCUGGCUCUAGAUGUUUUGUUGUUGUUGUCGUUUUGCUGGCAUUAAACCACCUGUUGGGAGACAGACCUUGCCUUAUCCUACAUAAAGGCAGCCAGUACAGUGCUGACUCGUCACCGAGGUUUGAACAAAUGGAAGUUUACUAUCAUACGGAUCAGCACUUUGCACCAGGAAGCCCCAGUGUUUGCUAUCCUUGGAAGCCAUAAAGCCAGGCCUUUUUCUUCCAUCAGUAGCCCACGUGUGCAGGGCUCUAACUGAAAUGGUUUAACACCGGCCCUUUUAUUACACCAGCACAACUCCUUCCCACAGGUUGGCCCUUCACUUGAUGUUACUCAUUGCUUUCUGUUUACACAUAGGAAUUUUAUGUGAUGCAUAAGCAGAUAAGUACUGCAUCUGCUCAGUCAUAUUUCCCCAACACCUCUCCCUUUGUUCUUUUUGCCUUUUAUCCUCUGGGUUUUCUUCGCCAAGGACCCCUGCCCUCACCCAGCCACUGUCCCCUUACUUCUUUAGCUUCACUCUGCCCACCUCUGCUUCUGCAGUAGAGGAAGCUUGCUUGAUAGCAUUAGGCAAUGCCUUUACUAUUUGGUGAUGUUAAUGCUCUCGCUCUGAAUCAAUUUCCUCUUUGUUUGCCUGUGAUGGAAAGCUCCGUGAAAUCUGCAACGGUUUUGCUGAAAUGAGAAAAGGGAAGGACGAGACCUGCAGCCAGGCACUCUGCAGCCCCUCCCAGCUCUCCAGCGCUCAGGGUAGGGGCGCAGGCUGAGUCACUCAGCCCUGCACCAGCAAACACCCGUGGAGGCACAAAAGGGCUGCUGAGAGCAGGCAGCAUGCAGCCAACUUGGAUUAAAGGCCAACUCUGGGAAGAGGGGCUCGUGCCCAGCGAGCCUUGGCUCUUCUGGCUGACUCACCCCGAUUUGCCCCACUCAGACUGAGGCCACACCAUCCUCGGGAGCUCCUGCUCCCCUGAACAGCUUUGGGGAGAGCGGAAGCAGUUGGAGGUAGGCUGGAGAGCCCUGCUCCUGCCUCCUCGCUGGAAACUGCUUUCUUGCUUGCUCACGUGCACACUUGGGUAGUGCACUUGCAAAGACUAUAGGCAUGAAUAUUUACAUUCCCUUGCCAUGGACAUGAAGCUGAAUUCCACCCUCCGGUUGCAGGGUGAAUGAGGUCAGAAACACUGUUUCAGAGAACAGAAAUGCAGAGGUACGGCCAACCAGAUGGGGUGCUGGGCUGCCAUGCAGCUGCACAACCUUUCUAGCAAUUAAUCCACCAGAAAGUGAGGGAGAGAUCGCAGGCUCAGUGCUAACCAGGGGUUUUGGCUCUCUGCUUGGAGGGCUCGCCUGGCAAAGCUGCUCCCUGAGGUCAGCAAGUCUACUGAGCAGAUACCCCAGCACCCUGUGGCGAAGCUCCUCUGCUGGGGGAACACGGCUCGCUUCUGUGAACUACUGCUGGGAAUGCAUGCUAGGAGCACACAGCAGGAAGGAAUGACACAGCUGUACCUUCACACCUUCCAGCACUUUCUUAGAAAAGGGCAGAGCGGUGUGUUUAAAUUCCCUUUUCUUCUUCCCUUGUUCAGCUAGACAAGUCCCAGGCCCUAGCUGGAUGGCACCAACUGGACUGUAUGUCUGGGCACUGCGUCCCACUCAUUUUUAAGGAAAAUUAAGCCCCACCCCGGAGAGUCUGCUCACAGCUCAGGCAGUUCUCUGCUGGACUGGGCUGCCUGGAGCCCGUGUUCUCCACAUCUGAAACCAGACGACCCCAGGAGCAAAGCUCCACGUUUCCAGUCACUGGUUCACAGCCUCUGGCAGUUCCUGCAGGAUGGCUGAAAACAGUGCCAUGGGGCUGGCAGCUUGCCCCCACAGCCAGUGCAUCCCAACCACACCUGCCUUGGACCUGGAGAAGGAAUCCUAUAAUCCCUGUGUGGUCCUUCAGCAUUACCCAGCAUCUCCAUCCCAAACAUUGCGUCUUCCUUCUCCUUCCUGCUCCAUAAUGCAACCACUUAUAUGGAAAAUGAAUCAGCCCUCCUUGGGCAUCUUUCCAAAUGCCCCUCUGACUAAUUCUGCCCAAAACAGCCAGGCUGACCCUGUGCAAUGGCGUGAUCAUGGCAGACAGGACUGGGUCACGUUUGGGUGGAGGAAGGGAAAAACUGUUUUGCAGGCCUGCCCAAAAAUCCUCAUGUUGACUCUGCCAAAACCACACCAAACAUAUGGUAAAUGAAAUAGCUGGCAUGGAGCUGCUUUGGACGGCAGGAGUGUUUCAGCACUGUGGACUGCUCUUUAGCUGUCUUGAAUGUUAUUUACACUGUUUUAAGUAUCUCCACAUUUAAGGGAGAGAAGGCAAAGAAGAGGGCGAUGCCAAUUUUUUUGUGCAUUUGAUGCUUUUUACAUGCACGUUAUUUUUAUAGCCAUGUUAGCACGGUCCCAAUGCUUGCCCUGUCCUGUGGCUGAGAACAGUAACAGCAUUGCAGAAGGUUUCCUCCCCUCUUCGUGUAGCAACAGACUUCGGUGGAAAAGCACACAGAAGCAUUUUCUCUCUCAAAACAGGAGCUGUGCCUAAUUCACCAUAUAAAUGUCCUGCACAUUUCAUGGAGCUGAUGAAAUCAUGUACAGAUGGAAUGCCUCUUAACAAAGGCUUUAUUCACAGGGCAGGUUUCUCUGCCAUGUAUCUUUGACUGUAUUCCAGCUUAUACAGCUAUUCCCAGUGAAUACAUCCAUGGAGCCAGACCAUUUUCUGGGCAGAUACCAAAGGUGGAUGUGCUCAGCUCCCAACACCGCACUGUGGCUUCACUACAAGUCUGAGGCUGGAAGUCAUGCCAAUGAGCAUUCCUUUCCUCACUCUGUAUUGUUCACCUGGACUCAAGCACCCAGUGCCAUUUCCAGGGUUUGUCAGGUACUUUGGAAGAAACACCGCAGGACAACAGAACCUGAGAAAGAGCAUCCAGAGAAGCCAGAGGUCUUCAGUCAUUUGGGAGACGGCCAUAGGAAUGGAGUUGUGGUGGCUACAGCUACAAAAGAUGGAUGAAAAUAAAGCAGCCAAAUGGUGAUGAUCAUGAAAAAAAAAUAAAAAAUAAAAAGUGACUGUUCUUGAGAUCGAGGUAUAGAUUUUUUUUCUUGGAGCUACAGUGGCAGAGUGCCAGCAGGAGAGCUCACCUCCUCACAUAGCAGCUGGCGGGCUGCUGGGCAGCUCUCCACCACCGUUUGCAUGUUUUAACCCUUCCCCAGCCCCAACUCAACCUGUAGCUUCUCCCAUUUGUCCAUAAGCCAUGGCGUCCUGACACUAUUGCACUCUUGAGGGUCCUGUGUAAAAGCAGGCAGGGGCUGCUGGCCUGCUCGCAUGCACACCUUCCCAGUGCUGAAAACUCAACUCCCAAAUCCCCUGUUCAUCCAACAACCUCAUCAUCUAGACAAGGAAAACAGCAGGCUGAUCUAUGCUGCAGAGCACACUUCCUGGCACAGUCCAGUGGUAUUUGCCCAUGAACCCUUCUCUCUGCCUUUCUUUUUUGCCCUUUGUUCAGCGCUCAGUCAGUAACUCCUUAGAAACAACUCGCUAACUGCCCACGCUCAAAACAAGAACAGCAACAACAAAAGGAAUGAUAUAGAGGGAUGACUUCAUCGAGUUUGGAAAUAUCUUCUCAAAUGAAACAUUCCUUUACUCACAUACACAAGAAAGUAUCAAAAUUCUCUGCAGCUGAUGUAAACAGCAGAAAGAAAAAGUCAUCUGGAAGGACAGGAUGAUUCAUACCAAGGACCUGACUGGCAAUAUUCAUCAGUGUUGAAAUCCUCUCUGCAAGAUGACUACAUGCGAAAGCAAAACCAACGAGAUCCCAGCUUUUGCCAUGAGAAGCAUCAUUAACGGCAGAGCAGCGUGGUUAGGCUCCUAAUGCCACAACCCUUGCUCAUGGGAGUAACCCUUGCUCACUCAUCUGACCGGUCGCAGCAAAAAGCCCUGUGUCACCCAGGUAAUGGACAGACCAACAAGAGGUGAAGCGUUGCUGGACCUGGUGCUUACCAACAUGGAAGAGAUUGUAAAAGAGGUUAAGAUUGGAGGCAGCCUGGACUAUAGCGAUCAUGCCCAGGUUGAGUUCAUGAUCCUGGGGAAUGUGAGCCUGGUAACGAGUAGAGUCAGGACCUGAACUUCAGGAGAGCCAGCUUCAGGCUGUUUAAGGAAGUGUUGGAUGAGAUCCCCUGUGAAACUGUCCCUAGGGACAAAGUAACAGGACCAAGCUGGCAGCACUUUAAGGAUGCUUCUCUGAGAGCACAAGAGCUCUCCAUCCCCCAGAAUAAGAAAUGAGACAGAUGAGGCAGGAAACCAGCAUGGCUGAGCAAGGACUUGCUGGUCAGGCUGAGUGGAAAAAAAAAAAAAAAAAAAAAAAAAAAAAGAAAGGAAAAGGAAAAGCAGUGGAAGUGGGGAUGGGUGACCUGAGAAGAAUCUAGAGAUGCUGUCCAGAUGUGCAGGGAUGGAGACAGGAAAGCCAAGGUGCAGAUGGAAUUGAACUUGGUAAGAGGAUGUGAAAAACAACCAGAAGGGAUUCUUUAGAGACACUGUACAGAAGAGACAGGCAAAGGAGAGUGUAUUCCCUCUGAUCAGUGAAAAGGAAGAGCUGGCCUCCUUGGUCAUGGAGAAGACUGCGGUACUUAACAAGUUCUUUACCUCAGUCUUCAUGGUCAGUCAGGCUUCUCAUGUCUCUUGUGUCCCUGAACUUCUAAGUAGGGGUCGGGGAAGCAAAAUCCCUCCCAGUGUAAGAGCGGAUCAAGUCUGAGACCUCCUCUUGAAGUAGAAUGUGUACAAGUCUAUGGGGCCAGAUAACAUACAUCCCAGGGUUCUGAAAUAACUGGCUGAUGUGGUUGUCAGGAGAAGUCCCUGGUAACUGGUAAAAGGGAAACAUCACUCCCACAUUCAAGAAAGAGAAAAAAGAGAACCUGGGGAACUACAAACCAGUGAGCCUCACCUCUGGUCUGUACACCAGCCUGGGAAGAUCAUGGAAUGGAUCCUCCUAGAAAAGAUGUCAAGGCACAUGUGAGAUGUGGCUGUGCUCUGAGACAGACAGCAUGGCUUCACUAAGGGCAGAUUGUGCCUCACUAAUCUGGUGCCCUUCUGUGAUGGAAUGAUACCAUCAGUGGACAAAGGAAGGGCAACUGAUGUCAUCUACCUUGAUUUGUGCAAGGCCUUUGACAUGGUCCCGCAUCACAUCCUUAUCUCUAAAUUGGAGAGAGGCUGAUUUGAAGGCUGGGCUAUUAGGUGGACAAAGAAUUGGUUGCACGGUUGUAGCCAGAGGGUUGUUGUCUAUGGCUCUAUGUCCAAGGGAAGACUGGUCACGAGUGCUGUCCCCCAGGGGUCCAUCCUGGGGCUGGUGCUCUUCAGCAUCUUUAUCAAUGACACAGACAGUAUGACUGAAUGUACCCUCAGCAAGUUUUCUGAUGACACCAAACUGAGUGUUGCAAUUGAUGCAAUAGAAGGGAGGGAUGCCAUCCAGAGGGACCUGGACAUGCUCGAAAAGUGGGCACAUGAGAAUCUAACGAGGUUUAACAAGGCCAAGGCAUUGAGGCAAUCCCAGAUACAAGCACAGACUAGGAGUAGACUCCUUGAGAGCAGUUUUGUGGAGAAGGACUUGGGGGUCCUGGUGGACAAAAACCCACACAUGAACCAGAAGUGCAUCCUGGGCUGCAUCAAAAAAGGGGGAAGCGGCGGAGAGAGGGAUGUCCUGCUCUGCUCUGCCCUUGUAAGGCACCAUCUGGAGUACUGUGUCUAGGCCUGGGGCCCCCAGCACAGGAAGGAUGUGGAGCUGUUGGAGCAGAUCCAGAGCAGGGCCACGAAGAUGAUCAA